GGGAAUGUGGCUUAGUGGUAGAGUGCUUACCUACUAUGCAUGAAGCCCUGGGUUCGAUUCCUCAGUACCA
rnacentral:tRNA from 1 species